UACGUAGGGGGCUAGCGUUGCUCGGAAUUACUGGGCGUAAAGAGCUCGUAGGUGGUUUGUCGCGUUGUUCGUGAAAACUCACAGCUCAACUGUGGGCGUGCGGUCGAUACGGGCAUCACUGGAGUUCGGCAGGGGAGACUGGAAUUCCUGGUGUAGCGGUGAAAUGCGCAGAUAUCAGGAGGAACACCGGUGGCGAAGGCGGGUCUCUGGGCCGAUACUGACGCUGAGGAGCGAAAGCUAGGGGAGCAAACGGG
rnacentral:rRNA from 1 species